GUAGUAGGAUUGAAUGGGGAAAAAGUACAGAAACAAGAGAGUACUUGCAAACAUGUAUGAGAAGAAAUCCUACAACACUGCAUGAAAAGUCUUUCCUAAGCUUGGCCUUUACGUUGCUCAGUAUGUGCAAGCGAAUGAAUUUUGCAGGUUCAAUGCAUGCAGUGGUGUAGGAUUUCUUCCCACACCAGUUUGCAAGUGCCCUCUUGUUUCUUUCCAUUCAAUCCUGCUGCUUUUCCAUUUUAAAUGGUCUUUAUUUACUUGUUCCUAUAUGGAAGCCAAGAAUUUACCUUUGUGCUAUUUUUUGCCAUUAAUUUUGCCUUGUGCUUCUGCCCUUGUAGUGUGCCAUGCUGUGAGUCUUGUUAAAGCCUAUUACAGGUGCUUUUUCAAGAGUUGAUUUAAUUAUGUCUCUUCAUAGAUGGACAAAUACUGGGUCAUCCAGUUGUACCAUGUACAGAAAACCAGGUUGUACUUGCAUUGAAUUGAUUGUCCCUGUGUUUGCAAUUGUUUAUUCUUCCUUUAGGGUGUUUCUGAUGUCUUGGUAUUCAACUGUAAAAGGUUCACUUUGGUUACUGCUGAAUAAGGUAAUGAUAGAGUAUCUCAAUGGUGAGCCGCAGCAUAGUGAUGACGGCUAGUUAUUAUUUUACAUGCUGGGCAUUGUAAUCAAAGAUUUUUCGGAUGACUCUGUCUGUUAACAAUUACUAGCUAGGCUUAUUUAUUGAAGGAACCCAGAUCUUGCCUUGUUAUGCUAGCACAACCUCAACCAGGAAGGGCAAAGUUGAAAGUGGUAUUAAAGUUUCAAGGAUUAUAGAUUGGCUGAGUGCCAACACAUUGAAAGUUUUAUGUAAAGCAAUGUAUUUUACUAACAUCAUGUUUGAAAAUUACUGAACACUGACAGAUUUUCCUUGCAUUAAUUAUGAUUAUAAAUAUGAUUAAUUGAGUGACUGUUACCUU